UUGAAUUCCAAACGUAAAGGACCUGUUUUGCUGUGCGCCCUUUGCGGGGCUGCACGCCUUGUCCGAUACAACUCACACCUGUGCACCUUUGACCCGCAUAUAGUCGGGUCCUUUACACACACACUUUUAAAAUUGUAGAAUGUUUAUUUGAAAUUAUGA
rnacentral:misc_RNA from 1 species